rnacentral:rRNA from 1 species
GUGGGGAAUAUUGGACAAUGGGCGCAAGCCUGAUCCAGCAAUGCCGCGUGGGUGAAGAAGGCCUUCGGGUUGUAAAGCCCUUUAGUUGGGGAGGAAAGGUUGCUGGCUAAUACCUGGCGACUGUGACGUUACCCAAAGAAUAAGCACCGGCUAACUCCGUGCCAGCAGCCGCGGUAAUACGGAGGGUGCAAGCGUUAAUCGGAAUCACUGGGCGUAAAGCGCGCGUAGGCCGCUUUGUAAGUCGGACGUGAAAGCCCUCGGCUCAACCGGGGAACUGCGUUCGAUACUGCGAGGCUUGAGUCCUGGAGAGGGUGGCGGAAUUCCGGGUGUAGGAGUGAAAUCCGUAGAUAUCCGGAGGAACACCGGUGGCGAAGGCGGCCACCUGGACAGGUACUGACGCUGAGGCGCGAAAGCGUGGGGAGCAAACAGGAUUAGAUACCCGAGUAGUCC